rnacentral:rRNA from 1 species
GCGGCGUGCCUAACACAUGCAAGUCGAACGGGACGAGAGGGAGCUUUGCUCCCUCAAAGGUUAGUGGCGGACGGGUGAGUAACGCGUGAGUAACCUGCCUUUUCAGAAGGGGAAUAACAUUCUGGAAAAGAAUAGCUAAUACCGUCAUAAUGUCACAGGUAUCGCAUGGUACAGUGACCAAAGGAGCAAUCCGCUGAAAGAUGGACUCGCGUCCGAUUAGCUAGUUGGCGGGAUAAAGGCCCACCAAGGCGACGAUCGGUAGCCGGACUGAGAGGUUGAUCGGCCACAUUGGGACUGAGACACGGCCCCAGACUCCUACGGGAGGCAGCAGUGGGGGAUAUUGCACAAUGGGGGAAACCCUGAUGCAGCAACGCCGCGUGAAGGAAGAAGGUCUUCGGAUUGUAAACUUCUGUCCUCAGGGAAGAUAAUGACGGUACCUGAGGAGGAAGCUCCGGCUAACUACGUGCCAGCAGCCGCGGUAA